GGGGGCGAAACGGGUUCGACGGGAGUAGAGAAGCUUAAGUUGCAUGCCGAGGUCCUUGCUGCUCGUUAAACAGCUGGGAAAAAAAUAAACGCAGACGAUUACGCGUACGCUGUAGCCGCUUAACCGCGGCUACCGUCUUCAGGCCUUGCGCCCGCGGGGGCCAUGAAGGCGUCGACUAAGCGGGAAGGCUGCCGUCAUGAUGCCCGCAGUGACGGUGGUGAGAUUUAGCGGGCUGGCGUCGGCGAAAUCCUUGUCCGCAGUGAGGUCGCCGAAGCGAGAACCAAAGAGCGGAAUAAGCAUGUAGAAGCUUUGGCGGAAUGCUUUCGGACGCGGGUUCAACUCCCGCCGCCUCCACCA
rnacentral:sRNA from 1 species